UACGUAGGGGGCAAGCGUUGUCCGGAUUUACUGGGCGUAAAGAGCGCGCAGGCGGUCGUUCAAGUCGCGUGUGAAAGCCCCCGGCUCAACUGGGGAGGGUCACGCGAUACUGAUCGACUCGAAGGCAGGAGAGGGAAGUGGAAUUCCCGGUGUAGUGGUGAAAUGCGUAGAUAUCGGGAGGAACACCAGUGGCGAAGGCGACUACCUGGCCUGUUCUUGACGCUGAGGCGCGAAAGCUAGGGGAGCAAACGGG
rnacentral:rRNA from 1 species